rnacentral:rRNA from 1 species
CCCCGUGCAUGAGUGGCGGACGGGUGAGUAACGCGUGGGCAACCUGCCCUGUACAGGGGGACAACACUUAGAAAUAGGUGCUAAUACCGCAUAACGGGGGAGCCGCAUGGCACCCCCCUGAAAACUCCGGUGGUACAGGAUGGGCCCGCGUCUGAUUAGCUGGUUGGCAGGGUAACGGCCUACCAAGGCGACGAUCAGUAGCCGGCCUGAGAGGGCGGACGGCCACACUGGGACUGAGACACGGCCCAGACUCCUACGGGAGGCAGCAG